UCAUAUGUUCUUAAUAGCCUAAAGGCACCAGAUCCCAUCUUAUCUUGGAAGUUAAACAAGGCCAGCUCUGGUUAGUACUUGGAUGGGUGACAAACAAAUACCCAUCCAAGUACUAACCAGGUGCUGUAGGCU
rnacentral:rRNA from 11 species